GAUGAAGAACGUAGCGAAAUGCGAAAAGUAAUGUGAAUUGCAGAAUUCAGUGAAUCAUCGAAUCUUUGAACGCACAUUGCGCCCGCCAGUAUUCUGGCGGGCAUGCCUGUCUGAGCGUCAUUUCAACCCUCACGCCCCUAGGGCGUGGUGUUGGGGAUCGGCCAAGGCCCGCAAGGGACGGCCGGCCCCUAAAUCUAGUGGCGGACCCAUCGUGGCCUCCCCUGCGAAGUAGUAAUAUAUUCCGCAUCGGAUGGCGAUGAGCCCCUGCCGUUAAACCCCCAACUCUUUCAAGGUUGACCUCAGAUCAGGUAGGAAUACCCGCUGAACUUAAGCAUAUCAAUAAGCGGAGGA
rnacentral:misc_RNA from 1 species